GCCGUCGUGGUGUAAUGGUCAGCACAUUCGGCGCGUACUUGAGAGGUCCGAGGUUCGAGUCCCAGCGAUGCCA
rnacentral:tRNA from 1 species